GACGAACGCUGGCGGCGUGCCUAAUACAUGCAAGUCGAACGCAGUGGGGACGGGUGAGUAACACGUGGGUAACCUCCCAUCAGAGGGGAUAACACUUGGAAACAGGUGCUAAACCGAUACUGAUGGAUGGACCCGCGGUGCAUUAGCUAGUUGGUGAGGUAACGGCUCACCAAGGCCACGAUGCAUAGCCGACCUGAGAGGGUGAUCGGCCACACUGGGACUGAGACACGGCCCAGACUCCUACGGGAGGCAGCAGUAGGGAAUCUUCGACAAUGGGCGCAAGCCUGACCGAGCCACGCCGCGUGGAUGAAGAAGGUUUUCGGGUCGUAAAGCUCUGUUGUUAGAGAGGCGGUAUCUGCCGAGAAAGCCACGGCUAACUACGUGCCAGCAGCCGCGGUAAUAC
rnacentral:rRNA from 1 species